CCUACGGGAGGCUGCAGUAGGGAAUAUUGCUCAAUGGGGGAAACCCUGAAGCAGCAACGCCGCGUGGAGGAUGAAGGUUUUCGGAUUGUAAACUCCUUUUGUUAGAGAAGAUAAUGACGGUAUGUAACGAAUAAGCACCGGCUAACUCCGUGCCAGCAGCCGCGGUCAUACGGAGGGUGCAAGCGUUACUCGGAAUCACUGGGCGUAAAGAGCGCGUAGGCGGGGUAGCAAGUCAGAUGUGAAAGCCUAUGGCUUAACCAUAGGACUGCAUUUGAAACUGUUAUUCUAGAGUAUGGGAGAGGUAGGUGGAAUUCUUGGUGUAGGGGUAAAAUCCGUAGAGAUCAAGAGGAAUACUCAUUGCGAAGGCGACCUGCUAGAACAUAACUGACGCUGAUGCGCGAAAGCGUGGGGAGCAAACAGGAUUAGAUACCCUUGUAGUC
rnacentral:rRNA from 1 species